ACGGGUGAGUAAUACAUCGGAACGUAUCCUGGAGUGGGGGAUAGCCCGGCGAAAGCCGGAUUAAUACCACAUACGCUCUGAGGAGGAAAGCGGGGGACCUUCGGGCCUCGCGCUCAAGGGGCGGCCGAUGGCGGAUUAGGUAGUUGGUGGGGUAAAGGCCUACCAAGCCGACGAUCCGUAGCUGGUCUGAGAGGACGACCAGCCACACUGGGACUGAGACACGGCCCAGACUCCUACGGGAGGCAGCAGUGGGGAAUUUUGGACAAUGGGGGCAACCCUGAUCCAGCAAUGCCGCGUGUGUGAAGAAGGCCUUCGGGUUGUAAAGCACUUUUGUCCGGAAAGAAAUCAUCGGGGCCAAUACCCCUGGUGGAUGACGGUACCGGAAGAAUAAGCACCGGCUAACUACGUGCCAGCAGCCGCGGUAAUACGUAGGGUGCGAGCGUUAAUCGGAAUUACUGGGCGUAAAGCGUGCGCAGGCGGUGCUGUAAGACCGAUGUGAAAUCCCCGGGCUUAACCUGGGAACUGCAUUGGUGACUGCAGCGCUGGAGUAUGGCAGAGGGGGGUGGAAUUCCACGU
rnacentral:rRNA from 1 species